CAUCGACCUCCUUAUCAGCGACGAUUGCGGCAAUAUCCAUUCGAUUCUAUAUCGAUUAUAUCCAUUCGAUCCUAUACUGAUUAUAUCCGUUCGAUCCUAUAUCGGUUUUACAUCUAUAUACAACGACCAAGAUUGAUGAAAGUCCCAAUAGGAUGAGUGAAAUACCUGCAUCUAUUCCCCCAGAAUUCCCUACUGAGCACAUCAUGGAAGCA
rnacentral:sRNA from 1 species